rnacentral:lncRNA from 1 species
CAGCUCCUUGCUCCGGCACGAGGACGUACUCUCCGUCAGCAAGGUUACAGUCUAUCGAAAUGCAAUGAACAUGUAUGUCAUGAUUAUGCAGGAUUUAAUAAUAUUAGGCUAAGAGAAGAAAAACUAAGUUAAUGAGUAACUUAGGGUUUUUGGGUCAUACGUGGCUUUUAGUGGUUUAUGCUGAUCAUUCUAGGUUUAGGUUUUGUUAGGGAUAGGCAUAGUGAAUUGGUAUUGCCUUUAUAUAUUUCAGUGGAUAAGUUAUAAAGGGUUUUAGGAUGACACUAAUUCCUAUCAUUCAUUUUUUCCCUUUCUUUAUUUUCUAUUUAUGGUUUCUAGUGUAGGUUUGAACUACAACAGUGGUUUAACUUUUUUCCAAAAAUUCUGUAAAAAUUACAGUGGGUUGCCAUUGGUCAUUAUAGCCUGCUCUAGGAAUUUGAGGUUUAAAAUAAAAAGGCUAUGCUUUAGACAAAAAUUGUGUAAAAUGGGCCACUUUGCACUACAUUUCUUAAUUAGAGGUGGGUUCUGUCCUAAGGGUUAUUUUUGUUGGCAUCUAACAGUAAUAAUAAGCUUCUGUGCUAGAGAUCACAGAAAGCUAAGGGUUGGUUAUUUAGUUGUGAUUUUCUAAAGUUUAAUGCCAAAAAGGCACUUUCUACUACAUUGUUAUUUGAAAAAUGUCAAAUAGCAGAUUUCAUAUUUUUCCUAAGUCUUUAAUAACAAAACAUUAAUUAUCCCAAGGGUUGGGGUGUUUUUACCUUGGGGUUAUUUUUGUAGGAUUUUUCUAAGUUUUCCUUGUUUUCUUAAAAUAAAAGGUAUCCUAUUUAUUUUAUACUAAACCAGGGUAUCAUAGAUUUUUCUAGUGAACUACACUGAAUAAGUGUUCUAACAAAAAUAGGAGUGCCCUCUGGUUCAUUAUUUAAAUCACCUUUUCUAUUUUUCUUAACCUUAAGCAUAUUGUAAAAUAAAUAGCAAAAACUAACUUAAUGGGGUAGACAGAGAGGUUUAGCAUUUUUAAACAGGUCAGUAGGUGGAUAUAAAGUUCUCCAAAUUUUCCUAACCCCAGUCAAAUAGUGCAACUAUUUUUCUUCCUAUUAUUUAGCUUUUGGCCAAAACAAUAAUUAAAUCAGAACCCUAAAGUUUUCUAUAGCACAUAGGGGUUUCAUAUUUUUCCUAAGUAGUUUACAUUAUUUAAAGUCUGACAAAAUUGGUUUGACUAAAUUUGGAUGAAUAAAACAGAAGUUAUGGAUUAUUCAAGUUCUGUCAAAAUUUAAAUCAGAUUUAAAUAAGGGUUUCCUGGAAAACUACUUUGCACCGAGGACCCUGGGUUAUUUCCAAACUAACUCUCUCAGUUAUACCCCCGCGUUACUAUUCAUUUGAGUCACUGACAUUUCGCAAAACCCCCCAGGCUUCUUUUCUUCUCCCCCGUGGUCCUUCCCUAGGUUUAAACAGUACCCGCAAGAAAGAAAAGGGUGGCGCGGCUUACCGGCGGCGAGAGAGGUCCGGCGAGGGGCGGGGUUGGCUCGGGGAGGCUUUGGCGGUCACAGCGAUGUACGGCUCAACGGCGGGGAUGGCCGGAAUCGCUCGGUCCACGCGCGCAGGCGGGUGUCCUCGUCGGCGGCGGGUGUGCCGGCCAAAUCACGGCGAUCUAGUUCAAUCCAUUGGCACGGUGAGCUUCACGGGGUGAUGUAGAGGCUAGCUGUGCCUUGAAUCGAAAAAUGGCGCAGUGGCUUACCCGGUGUACGCUCGCCGGCGGUCGGAGGGAGUCCGGCGACCGUGGACUGGCCUCUCCGGCGAAGCAGACUUUGAUUCCUCGCUCGGGGAGCUUCACCGAGGUGUGCUCAGUCUUCACCGAGGGUCGGACGGGGUUGGGAAAGGCUGGGUUGGCCGGUCUACGGCGACAGGGGCUCGGGUGGCCGCGGACACGCCGUGCACGGGCACGCGACGGUGAGUUUGAGCUCCGGUGAGGUUGAGCGUGCGCGGAAGGGUAUGGUCGACGCCUGAGUGGGCUUUAUAGGCGCGGGCGCGGGCCAUGGCAUCGGCUGGCCUUUGGCGCGACGCGGGGCGCGCGCGGGCGUGCUCUGGCGUGCACAGAGCGCGUCGAACACGUGUAGGUUUUCUUCUGCCCGUGUUCCACAGCUCGCCCAAGUCGCAAAUGUGCGAAUCUUGGCAAAAAUCCGGCGCGAGUCUUUUCCUGGCACCUAGGGUUGUCUCUCAUCCGUGAGUCGCCAUGGCAGAUAUGCCCUAGGUAGGGAGAUCUUUGGACGCCAAAUCAGGUAUGUCUCCCUGCCCACCUCGCGACAAAAACGAUGCCAAGGCAUGCCAAACGUCAAGGUUUCGGGCUCAACUUUUUCCAGGGGGUGCCCUAGGUGGUAUGCCACAUUUUUGGUAUAGAACUUAGGUGGUUUUGGUGCCAUCUUCAAGGUGAACACGAUGGAUCUUUAGAUUAGGUGUAGUUUUUGACUUAGAGAGAAUUAGAGGGCUCUAGCUCUUUCUCUACUUAGGGAAUGGAUUUGGGGUUUCUUAAGGGGUCUUUUAGCAAUGUUUCCUCUCUAUAAUUGUAGGUUAAUAAGUUACUUAACUUUGUGCCAAAGAUUUGGUCAUGACUAGCACCUUUGCUUAAACUCUUCCCUUUAACCAAGGUGCUUAGGAGAUGGGGUUCAAGAGAGGUCUAGGGUUUACUUCCCCCCUUGUCCAAAGUGAUAAUUGCACACAACUAGGGUAAUGCUUUUGGUCAUUCACAUCUCUAGGUUAAAACCUAGCCUACAAGGCUCUUACACUUUGCUCCUUAAGUUUCUUUCACAUGUGAUCAUAGUCAUUAGUGCAAAGGUAUGCCCUAGCCAUGGUAACACCUGGGGUGUUACAGCCCUCCCCCCUUAAAGGAAUCUCAUCCCGAGAUUUUUAGGCAGAGUCCUCUAGAGGGGUGCCACGAAGGCACGUUGGUGUGCUACUCUUUCUUAUACUCAAGUUUCUCUUGUUAACUGCUCUUCGAAUGUCAUUCUCUUUGCAACUUCAGAAGGAAGUCCUUUUUAAGUUAAAUCCACAACUUAGACUAUCCUGGUUAUCUAAGUUUUUCUUAUAAUUGUAGUCAAAGGGCUGGCGGGGGUGGGGUUUGGGGGUUACGUACCAACUCCUUUGGGCAGAAAGUCGGGGAAAUGGGAGCGUAGAAAAUCCUCAGUCUCCCAUGUAGCCUCUUUUACUGAAUGGUGACUCCACUGAACCUUAUACAUUCUGAUCGAUUUUGCCCGUGUUGAUCUCUCCUUCUGAUCCAAUACCUUGACGGGGUACUCUUGAUAGGACAGGUCUGGUUCUAUCUCAAUGUCUGGUUCAGGUAGUACUUCGGUAGGUAGGCGAACACAUUUUCGCAGCUGAGAUACAUGAAAUACAUUGUGAACUGCUGACAUGUGAGGUGGCAAUUCCAAUUGAUAGGCUACGGGCCCACAACUUGCUUUGAUCUCAUAGGGUCCUGUAACACCCGGUUUUAAAGGACAAAGCCGGGUGCAUCUCAUACAUGCGCCAAGAAGACAACAUAUAUAAUAACAGAGUGUAUAGAGAUAAAUGUCAUAAAACAUCAGAGUAUUUAUUACAUAGCGGAAGACUUAUUACAAAAUAAUGAGUAUAAAACGAACUAAGGAUCGUCGGCGCCAAUGUCAACUGAGAAACGCCACCUAGAUCAGAUCAAACUCCUCGCCUUGUGGCUCCUCCUGAACCACCUGUUCUUCUCCUGUGGGGGGGGUGUGAGACAGCAAGAGUGAGCUCACAUACGUUCAUCGCUCAACAAGUCGUGGGGAAUAAUGUGGCAUGAACUCACCAAAGGUGGGAGUUCAUGAAGUGUAAGGCUGAUCAAUGAAAUAAAGGCUGAGGCUGAGCAUUGCUUUUAUAAGUUGGUCAAAAUUUUAUUAGCAAUUACUAAGUGUAAGUAAAUACCAAACCUUAAUAAUAGUAAAGAAAAGUAAUAGUAAAAUAAUCCCAAAUGCGAUGCAAAUGUCAAAUUGAAUUUAAGUUCCAUAAUUAAUCAUGUGAGGGUCCGAGCCGCUCUUGACCGUGAGCACGGCUAGUAUACUAGUUUUACACUCUGCAGAGGUUGCGCAUCUUUACCCACAAGUCGUGUAUCCCAUGUUGCCUGGGUUUGCAAGGCCCUUAGACACUACCGAGGUGAAUGGCUAGGGAUCCACUACGAGGCCUUUACAAAGUUCCACUAGCUUCCGAAAACCCGCUACAGUUUAUAGGAAGAUCCAGUACAGGGUUCCUGGCUGACAGCCAUCGCAGCAAAAUCAACCAGGGACCUCCCCGCACUGACCUCUCCCCUACUGCCCUUGCCCCUUUCGGGUAAGGUAGUCUUCCACUAGCUUUCCUAAUUAGUCAGCCAAGGGCGUCCCAUUAUACCCUUGUGGUAGCACUGUUUUCCCGGGUGGUCGCUCCAUGUUCCCAUUAAUUUAAUGAUCUUAACAUGAACAAUAAUAAUAACAAGUUAAUAACAGAAUAAUCAUGAAUAGUGUAUCUCCAUACCCAAUCCACAUAAAGCAAUAGCAAGUACUACCCAAAAAUAUUUCAGGGGUGAACAAGGUAUAGAGGUAAUCAAAACUGGGGUAACAUAAAGGCUCCCAUCAAAAUUAUCCUAUGCAGAUCAUUAAAAUUAAUAAGAACAUGGCUGGGAAAGUAAGUGAUCAAGGGCACAACUUGCCUGGCACUUGAGAAUCCAGGUACCAACUUGCUUUUCAGAUGACACACGUCCUCGCGCUAGUCGUAGCAAUACAAGCAAACAUGAUAUAGAUAAAAUUAACAUCACACCAAACAUAAGAACAUACUGCAUAAUAAUGAUAUACUCAGUGCUACGAGACUAACGCAACUCGAACGGAUCAAAUCGGAGUUAAAACGGAGGAGUUAUGAUUUUCUGAAGAUUCUUGUGUGUUUUGUACAAGAUUAAAUGGGAUAUAAAUUCUAAUGUGACUUUCAUAUCAAAACAGUAGUAUUAGAUGAUAUACAAUAAUAUUACAAAAUUAUAGGAAUUGGAACGAAUUAAUUUGGGCUUAAUAUGAAUUUUCUAUGAAUUACUCAAGUUUUAUAAUUAUUUUUAUACUCAAAAUCAAUUUCUAAAUCUAUUUUCUGGUUUCAUUUAAUUCCUGGACUGGGCCUCAAUUUUCAGAAAGCUCAAGGGUCUCUGCGAAAGAUAACCUAGACCCAGGGAACAGUGGCCAAUGGACGGCGGGUUGGUUUCCUGAAAGCAGAGGGGCUCUUUAGCAAUAUUGACCCGCGAAGGGGUACAGUGGUAUUCUGGCCGUUGGAUUCCUCCUGGAUGGCCCGGAUUAGAUCUUACCCUCAGCACAAUCAUACCACGCUCUGACCCGAUGGAUUAAGGAUCAACGGCACACAGUGGUCCGCGUCUACUCUUAACUCAAGCCCACAGAUCCCGAUCGGACGGCCCAAUCUUCAUCAAGCGCUACACCUAAUCUGAACCGAACGAUACACGAUCCACGGCCGAGGUGCUAUCGAGACCCGAGUCAAAUCUGACCGCACGAUAUGGAUCUAACGGCCCAAACACCGUCUUCUCCCCCCCGGUCAUCCGAGCGGCCAGGAGCAGAGCUCCACGGCGCGCUCACCGGCGAGCACCCGCUGACGGCCCAGUACCCCGAAAGCCACCCCGAAUAAUUCCACAUGAAGUGCACGGUACUGUGAACAGGAGGAGGCAGAGAUUACCCGCGUUUGAACGGUGACGAAGCUCGGCCACGGCGACAGGUGCUCCGCGGCGGCGCUGCUCGCACAACGAAGAAAUUCCCGGAGCCUCAGCUGAUCUCUCUCCGAUUAACUCCUUCCAGAGCCUUGCUAGGGACCGGACUACCUACGUAUGGCUCAAUCGUAGCCCGACACACGCCGCCGACGUGGAUCCGCCGCGGCGGCUGAUUUCUCUCCCACGCACCCUACGUCACGGGUCUCUCCCACGCGGUACAAUGUGGCAAAAGAUGGCCUCUGGAAAUCGAAUCAGGAGAAUGCCCUGCGCCUUGGGUCUUAUGGGGGAGGGCAACACCGGUUCGGUCGAAGUUGCCAUGGACGGCGCGCGGAAGAAUCGCCGGUGGGUUCGGCUGGGUAGUUGCGGUGCCUGGCCACAAGGCCCCACACUCCAG